UGCACAAGACCAUCACAUACGUAGGACAAUUAAUAUAUAUUGCAUAGAAUAGAAAAGAGAUCAGGAGGAGAAAAUGUCGGCUAUAGUUCACAAGAUUGAGGAUAAGUUCCACAUGGAUAAGAAAGAGGAAGGGAAGUACAAAGCAGGGCGUGAUAAGGAGGAGUACAGGAUGAAGGAGGAGCACAAGAAGGAAGAAGAGAUGAACGAGGGAGGGACUGUCCAGAAGAUCAAGGAGGAGAUCUACGGCGAAGAGCACUUUGAGAUGUCCAAAUGAUCAUAUUAAUGGCCGGCUAGAUGGUGAAGCAUGCAUGAAGCUAUAUAUAUAUAUAUUAGUGCUGUUACUGCAUGGAAGAGUUAAAAUUAUGUACUCUUGCUCUCUUCCUCGAUAUAAAUAAUGGCUUUGAUAUCGUGAUAUAAAAUAAAUAAUAAUAAAAUAUCUUACUUGGUUUUUGCUAUA